rnacentral:rRNA from 1 species
GACGAACGCUGGCGGCGUGCUUAACACAUGCAAGUCGAACGGAAAGGCCCUGCUUUUGUGGGGUGCUCGAGUGGCGAACGGGUGAGUAACACGUGAGUAACCUGCCCUUGACUUUGGGAUAACUUCAGGAAACUGGGGCUAAUACCGGAUAGGAGCUCCUGCUGCAUGGUGGGGGUUGGAAAGUUUCGGCGGUUGGGGAUGGACUCGCGGCUUAUCAGCUUGUUGGUGGGGUAGUGGCUUACCAAGGCUUUGACGGGUAGCCGGCCUGAGAGGGUGACCGGCCACAUUGGGACUGAGAUACGGCCCAGACUCCUACGGGAGGCAGCAGUGGGGAAUAUUGCACAGUGGGCGGACGCCUGAUGCAGCAACGCCGCGUGCGGGAUGACGGCCUUCUGGUUGUAAACCGCUUUCGCCUGUGACGAAGCGUGAGUGACGGUAAUGGGUAAAGAAGCACCGGCUAACUACGUG